AGUAAAUUGGUUAAGUUAGAAAGGGCGCACGGUGGAUGCCUUGGCACUAGGAGCCGAAGAAGGACGGGACUAACACCGAUAUGCUUUGGGGAGCUGUACGUAAGCGUUGAUCCAGAGAUUUCCGAAUGGGGGAACCCACUAUCUUUAGUCGGAUAGUAUCCUUACGUGAAUACAUAGCGUGAGGAAGGCAGACCCAGGGAACUGAAACAUCUAAGUACCUGGAGGAAGAGAAAGAAAAAUCGAUUUCCUGAGUAGCGGCGAGCGAAACGGAAAGAGCCCAAACCAAGAAGCUUGCUUCUUGGGGUUGUAGGACACUCUAUACGGAGUUACAAAAGAAAGUUAUAAAUGAAGCGGUCUGGAAAGGCCCGCCAAAGACGGUAACAGCCCGGUAGUUGAAAUGGCUUUCCCUCCAGAGUGGAUCCUGAGUACGGCGGAACACGUGAAAUUC
rnacentral:rRNA from 1 species